AAUUUUGUUUUUUAUACUACGUCGUUUGAAGUACCGAGAAAGAUAUAGGUGAAACCUUUCAUACCGGAAGUAUAUAGGUACAUGUUCCCAUCAUCAAUAAAAGCCAUGUCAAUAUUGUUUUUCAAUUUAUCGAAGAACCUAUAAAUAGAAUAUACAUAUGUAUUUAUUAUAUAUAAAGGGUUAUUAAGACAAAUAUUGAUAUUUGAUUUUAUUGUGAUGUAGAUAAAAUCAAAAAAAUAAAAAAAUAUAUGUAAGACAAAUAACUAGGUACCUACAUAAGUACCUAUUGUUGAAAAUUUUACUUAAUCGAAGUAAUAAAAUUGUGAAACCAAAUAAAACAUAUUUCUGUCGAAAUAGUAGUUAAAAGGUAUUAAAACGUAGUGCACAUACAUUAUGGGGACUUCAACGUGUUUUUCAAUUUUAUUUUUGUUAUUUGUCAAUAUAAAUUAUACGUUUUCUGUGCUAUUUGAUUUAGCUAUGCCAAUAAUUGUGACUCCAGCGAAUGAAUACAUCAGAAGGAGCCCACAGAAUCGCCGUGUUCAGCCUUUAAAUGGUCGCAUUUUGCCAAUAGAAAACGACUUUGUACUGUCCUCGAAAUACAAAGUGCGGCCAAAAAAGAUAUUUUUGGAAAAGAGUCACAUAUUAAAGAAGUUCGAUAAGAAUAAGUAUUUAGGAAGUUUGAAAUGGAAUCGUGGAAGUGAUAUGGCUUUGUAAAUGUGUUUUUGAAAAAUAAAAUCGAUUAAUCAUA